GUCUUGAACACAGUGACCUGUAAAGCAGGGGACAUGCAGUGCAGUGUGGCCAGCAGCUGGGGCUCUGGAGAGACACAGGUACAGGGCUGAUGCUGGAUGUUCCCUGUGAUCGUGGCCAGUCUGCCUCCCCACCCCCAGGAGAAUCACCUGCAGCUGAGGACACACCGGAGGUGGAGAGACCCGGAGAUGCUCAGCACAGACCUGCACAGCAAGUGUCCAGGGGAUGCUCCUCUGAUCCCUCUAUGUUGAGUGGGAGGAGGCCCAGGUUACUCUUUCUCUACAUAUGUCAGCAUAUGGCACUGCAGCCCAGGAGGUGGAGCCUUGGCUGGAGUUAGACAAAAAAUGACACACUACUACUGACCCCGACCAGAUGGGUUGAUUCUGGUGCCAACAAUGACAUAAUUCUUGAUGUUGACUGGGUUGAGUUUCCUGUGCACUGUGCCUGUGACCACACCUGCAGACCAGGGGCCGGGGUAACAGGGGCUGAAGGGCACCUGUCAGUGGGACCAGUGACCUCUGAAGGAGGAUCUCCGAGGACAGCAGGCAGUGGUACACAGGCCAGAG